rnacentral:lncRNA from 1 species
GGCUGCUGCGUGUCUGGUAGAAGGACUGCCCCUCUCUGUCGUCAUGUCCACAUCCCAUCAACCCCGGGUAGGCACUGCCUACCAGGAUGCCCAAAAGCCCCCUGAAGGGGAGAGUAAGGGGCCUGGAUAUGCAGAUAUUCCUGAGGAGAAAGGAAAGCUCCCUUUACCUGAACUUGGAUGAAGCAAGUUAUUGCUAGUCUGAAGUUUCUUCAGAGUCAGGCAGGAAUAAUAAUAAUUAAAAGACCCAAUCUGAUCCCCAAGUCUUCCAACCACCACCACCACCACUCCACUUAAAUAUUAUUUAAAUAUUAAAUAAUUACGUGUACACACAGGUCAGGCUGUACUAAACUCUUCUAUACAUCUUGAUGUCACGGCUUCUCAGCGGAGAAGGAUGUUAAGCAAGGUUAAUGACACCCGGUGCCAGGCACUGAUGACAUGCAGCUGACAAGGCGAGAUGCCCUCACGUUGCCCACAGUGCAGGGGACUGGUGGGGACAGAAAGAUGUAGGUACCGGAUCCCAUUCAAAGGACCGAUUGAAUGGGAGUCUGCCUGGGUGGCCUCCCAAGGCUUCUUCCAUUCUAUCAUCGGGUAAUUAUUAUUAUUAUUUGUCAAAAACUACCCUGCUUUGUCACAAUUCUCAUUUCAGUUUAGCCAUAAACAUUCAACCUGGAUAGUUCGAUGCGGGAGUUUUCCUCUAUUUCCUGAGGGGUAAUAUUCGGUGUUAAUUACAGUUUCAAAGACCCAGAGUAAAUGAUGCGGGAAGGAGCCUCUGAGAGACCCUUCUCCCCACCUCUGUUGGUAGAUUCUGGCGGGAGCGCGCAGGGCCGGUUCCAUCGGCGGCGGUGCGGCCACGGGGUCCGGCCCUAAUCACGCCCUUGCCAACAGGAUGGCCUCCUUCAGUGCAAUUUCCACUCCAGUGCUGUAUCCAUUUUCUUUCUCCUCUUCAGAGAAACAGCCGGCCCUUCCUACUUCCCCGCCUCCUCCCCAGGCCCCUUCAAUAAUUGAGGCUAAGCCGGAGCCCGGCACCCUUGGGCAGCCCUUGAUUAAGACGCCAUCGAGUGGCCGCCUUCCAUGUCCGCGUCCUGGUCUCCGAGGCUGGUUAAGAUGGAGCCCAACGGCUCUCCUGGAGAAGAGUGACCCACCAUCCCGACCGUGAGAGAGAGGAAUUUUCGCGAAGCGGAAGGCACAUGCUUCUGAGGCGAGGAUCUGGCGUUCCAAAAGACUUACACCUUAAGCAGAACAUUCUAACUGGGUGACUGUGGACCCGACUAAGUCAAUAACUCAACAGACCGCAUCUUAAGAAAAGGCAGAGAACUUCCUUAAAACAUGGCUUUUCUACAUUCUUUUCAUUCUAGAGACUCAGAGAAGGAAACUGCGUUUCAGAAGCAUUAACUGGAUGGAAAUGGCACAGAUGGAGUUGGGAGCCAGUGCGACUCCAGAGCUGAGCUCCUGUGAGUGUCUGUGAAGCAGGUCACUGAUGUUCCCAGUGAUGGGGACAUACUGAAGCUCACCACAAGCUUAUUGUUGUGAUAAGUCCUUCUGCCACAUGGCAUCCGGAGCUGAGCACCUGGCAGCGCUUCUGUGGGGGGAGAAGAAUUAGCAAGAGGAGGCUGUGGAUCUUCAGGUUUGGAAUCCGAUCCAAGAUGAAAACAAGGAGCAUCAAAAAUGCCCUGGUGUAUCGCUGGCUUUAAAAGAAUGUGCAUUCUUCCCCAUUCCUUCUACGACAUCACGGUAAUGGGUCCAACAUGAUAGCAGAUGUCCAUCCAUAGCCAAGAUAUGGAAACAACCUAAGUGCCCAUGGACAGAGGAGUGGAUAAAGAAGAUGUGGUACGUAUACACAAUGGAAUAUUACUCAGCCAUUCAAAGGCAAGAAAUAACGGCAUUUGCAGCAACGUGGAUGGAGGGAUCCAUUUAUUUGUCAAUGGACCCUUGGGUUGCUUCUACCUUUUGUCUCUUGGGAAUAAUGCUGCUGUGAAUACGGGAGUACAAAUACAUCUUCCAGACUCUGCUUUCAGUUCUUGUGGAUAAAUAGCCAGAAGUGGAACUGCUGGAUCAUAUGGUAAUUCUAUGUUUAAUUUUUUGAGAAACUGCCAUACUGUUUUUCAUUGUGGCUGUACUGUUACAUUCUCACCAACUGUGCACGAAGGUUCCAAUUUAUCCACUCCUCAGCAAAACUUGUUAUUUUCUUUCUUUAAAAAUAUGUUUUACAGUAGCCAUCAUUUGGGUAUGGGUGGUAUCUUCUUGCAGUUGUUUUUGUUUGUUUGUUUGGUUGGUUGGUUUUCUUUUUUUUGCUUUUUAGGGCCACGCUUGUGGCAUAUGGAGUGUCCCAGGCUAGGGGUCCGGUCAGAGCUAAAGCUUCUGGUCUAUACCACAGCCACAGCAACGGAGGAUCUGAGCUGCAUCUGUGACCUACAUUGAAGCUCAUGGUAAUGCCAGAUCCUUAACCCACUGAGCAAGGCCAGGGAUUGAACUUGCAACUUCAUGGUUCCUAGUCAGAUUCGUUUCCACUGCACCACGAAGGGCACUCCUCUUGCAGUUUUGAUUUGCAUUCCCUAAUGAUUAGUGAUGUGGAGAAUCUUUUCAUGUGCUUAUUGACCAUUUGUAUAUUUGGUCUAUUUGAAAAUAUCUAUUCAAGUUCUUUGCCCAUUUCCUUCCUUCCUUCCUUCCCUUCUUCCUUCCUUCCCUUCUUCCUUCCUUCCUCCCUCCCUCCCUCCCUCCCUCCCUNNNNNNNNNCCUCCCUCUCUUUCUUUCUUUCUUUCUUUCUUUCUUUCUUUCUUUCUUUCUUUCUUUCUUUCUUUCUUUCUCUCUCUCUCUCUCUCUUUCUCUCUCUCUCUCUCUUUCUUUUCUCUCUCUCUCUCUCUUUCUUUCUUUCGCCUUUUUAGAGCUGCAUCUGCACCACAUGGAAGUUCCCAGGCUACGGGUUGUAUCGGGGCUGUACCUGCCUGCCUACGCCACAGCUCACGACAAUGCUGGAUCCUUAACCCACUGAGUGAGGCCAGGGAUGGAACCCACAUCCUCACGGAUACUAGGCAGGUUCGUUACUGCUGAGCCACAACGGGAACUCCCUCUUUGCCCAUUUUUCAUAAGAUUUUUGUUUUGUUCAGUUGUAGGAGUUCUCCAUAUAUUCUGGAUAUUAAUCAGAUGGAGGAUUUACUUUUUUCUAUUCUGUGGGUUGCCUUUUCAUUCUCUUGAUUGUACCCUUUAAUGCACAGAAAUUUUAAAUCUUGAAAUAGCCCAAUUUGUCUAUUUUUCUUCUGUUGCCUGUGUUUUUGGUGUCAUAGCUAAGAAAUCAUUGCCAAAUCCAAUGUCCUGAACCUCUUCCUCAGUGUUUUCUUCUAAGAGUUUUACGUUUUAGCUCUUAUUGUUUAGGUCUUUGAUCCAUUUUGAGUUAAUGUUUCAAUAUGUGGCUUAGUAAGAGCCUAAAUUCCUUUUCUUCCCCCUUUGGCCACACCUGUGGCAGAUGGAAGUUCCCAGGCCUGGGAUCAGCUCCUUGGUGGAGCUGCCAUUGCCAUCUGGCCUUCGGGGAAGCCUCUAUGUUCCUGCUCCAUCGGUAAGGGAAAAAGGACCAUGGCUAAUUUAAAAUCCAGCUCUGGUUGGCCUCAAGCUUUUCUUUUUAAAAUUUUUUUAUUUUUAAUUUUUUGGGUCUUUUUGUCUUUUUAGGGUUAAUACACUGAUAUAAAUUGCAAACGUAGUUAAUUUUUUAACGUUUGAAAAAAAAAAAAAGAAAAUACCAUACAGAUGAUACACGUAACUAAACUUAGUAUGGCAAAAGACUUUCUGAUUAUAAGUACGAGGAAAUAUAUUAAAAGAGAAAUGGUAGAUUUGAUUUUAUAAAUUGUGCGCAAAAACCCUUUAAAAGGAAACAAUAAGUUUAUCAUGGAAUGUUCAUCUUUUUUAAAUUUCUUUUUUCAAAUGAUUUUUAUUUUUUCUAUUAAAGUUGGUUUACAGUGGUCUG